rnacentral:misc_RNA from 1 species
GAACGCACAUUGCGCCCGCCAGUAUUCUGGCGGGCAUGCCUGUUCGAGCGUCAUUUCAACCCUCAAGCACAGCUUGGUGUUGGGACUCGCGUUAAUUCGCGUUCCCCAAAUUGAUUGGCGGUCACGUCGAGCUUCCAUAGCGUAGUAGUAAAACCCUCGUUACUGGUAAUCGUCGCGGCCACGCCGUUAAACCCCAACUUCUGAAUGUUGACCUCGGAUCAGGUAGGAAUACCCGCUGAACUUA